AUUGAACGCUGGCGGCAGGCCUAACACAUGCAAGUCGAACGCGAAAGUCACUUCGGUGGCGAGUAGAGUGGCGGACGGGUGAGUAACGCGUAGGAAUCUGCCCUGUAGUGGGGGAUAACCCGGGGAAACUCGGGCUAAUACCGCAUACGCCCCACGGGGGAAAGCGGGGGAUCCUUCGGGACCUCGCGCUAUAGGAAGAGCCUGCGUCGGAUUAGCUAGUUGGUAGGGUAAAGGCCUACCAAGGCGACGAUCCGUAGCUGGUCUGAGAGGAUGAUCAGCCACACCGGAACUGAGACACGGUCCGGACUCCUACGGGUGGCUG
rnacentral:rRNA from 1 species